rnacentral:rRNA from 1 species
GAUCAUGGCUCAGGAUGAACGCUGGCGGCGUGCCUAACACAUGCAAGUCGAGCGAAGCACUUUGCUUAGAUUCUUCGGAUGAAGAGGAUUGUGACUGAGCGGCGCGGUNAGUAACGCGUGGGUAACCUGCCUCAUACAGGGGGAUAACAGUUAGAAAUGACUGCUAAUACCGCAUAAGACCACAGCACCGCAUGGUGCGGGGGUAAAAACUCCGGUGGU